AUCACCUUUAGAGGUGUUAUGGCUGCUGUGUCACUCGUGCGUCAGUAGGUGGCAGAGAGGAGAGAAGCUGUCUCUACAAUGAGUAUUCUGACCUGUGAACAUCUGAAUGAUUAGUAGUCUAACAUU